UACGUAGGGUCCGAGCGUUGUCCGGAAUUACUGGGCGUAAAGAGUGCGUAGGCGGUUAUGUUAGUCUUCUGUUUAAUCCUUCGGCUCAACCGAAGAACCGCAGAGGAAACGGCAUAACUGGAGCGUGUGAGAGGUGAGCGGAACUCAUGGUGUAGGGGUGAAAUCCGUUGAUAUCAUGGGGAACACCAAAUGCGAAGGCAGCUCACUAGCACAUUGCUGACGCUGAGGCACGAAAGCGUGGGUAGCGAAUGGG
rnacentral:rRNA from 1 species